rnacentral:sRNA from 1 species
UCAGCCAUAUUCCAAAUUUGCUGUGAUUAAGGAAAACGGAAAUUUUGGUUUGGUUGUACUUGGCGCUGUUGAGCUUCCCAUUGGCGGCUUUUAUAUUUAAGUAUCUGGUUUGUUGUAUUUGCUGCUGCUAAAGAUUCUGUUGUUGAUGGUUUAUGAUUUAAGCUGUUACAGCUGCUGCUGCCGCUGUUCUUGCUGCUGCUGAUGUUGUUUCUGCUGUUGCUGCUGCUGUGUGUUUCUUUUUGACUGGCGUACUGUGGUAUUGAUAUUUACUAUUUGAUUCAAGCUGCUGCAACCUUUGUAAUUUGAAACAUGAUGAAUUGAUAUAUUUUGCGCAUGCAUGGGGCACAUGGGGUGUGCUUGCCCACAUUUGAGACAGACGAACGGGUGACGGCAAUAGUAGACUAUGGUCAAACGCCUGGCAGCGAUUACAGUGUACCGGUUCCAAUAUGACCUCGAUAUUGUGCUGGUUACCCGGGGAUUUAAGUAGUAAUAUCCUCUCAUUAGUUAAUGGAUCCGGUGUGAGCUCGAUCUCAAAUUGAUUUAGCAGUAUGCGUGUGAACUGGUGUUUGGAGGCGCACCAAUAGUUUUUCCAGCUUUUAACGGGGUCGUAUGAUGUAGAUGCCUCAUAAUCACACGAUAGCCUCCCUCGUUACGCAGUUGAUGAGUGUGUAUAUCGAUAUUAUUGCAACACAGUACUUCUAGUACUGUAUUAUAGCACUAAGCAGACAUUUGCCUGCCUGAUGUGUGGUGGCAGCCAGAUAAGGACUGAGUGUGGCAAGUCGAAAGACACCGAGGCAAUGUGCGAAAAUUGUCAGAGUAAGCAUGUUGCCACCUACAAAGGCAAAAUCAACAGCAGCAGUUGGCGCCAACUCCAAAACAGAAUGUAUAAAAAGAAGACAUACAUCAACAGCAGCAGUUGGCGCUGCUUGUCCCUUCGAAGGAGCAGCAGCCCAACAAGAUUCAGAAGAGACAGCCAACUCCAACACAGAAUGUAUAAAAAAAAAGACAUACUGCCAGGUGGUGCAGGCAAAGAACACUACGGACACUGCACCAACCAACAACACAGCGGAAAGACAUCUGGAGAAGUUCCAGAAGAGGCUUCGCGUUGAGUAGAAGGAGAAACAGCUCCGCAGCCCUCAGCCGCAGAUACAGGAGGAACAACAGAACACACCUUUGCCCUGUACCCCUGAUACCACUUCAAUACUAGACAUAAUACAGCAACACACAGUUUUGGUGACAGAGCUAGGCAGGAAAAUAGACGCUUUCCUGUCGAUUGUGAUAUCAUUAAUGGAAACACCAAAAGUCACGCGUUACCAUUGCCAACAGUUCAUACAGUACAGUCAGUCCAAGAUGUUCAAGUUAACACAUGAAGUCCACUCAGUCCAAGGAACACAGUCAAGAAGGAAACAUAUACCAGAAGUCACGCCAUGCUGCCAUCACCCUGAACACUUCAAACAGUAUACUCAGUUCAAGAUGCCCAAGUCAACAUGCAAAGUCAAGUCCGUACACGAAGUCCAGUCAGUCCGAGAAACAUAGAUGUCCAGUCAGUCCGAGAAACAUAGAUGUCCAGUCAGUUCGAGAAACAUAGAUGUCCAGUCAGUUCACACAGUCAAGUCGGUUUAAGGUGUCCAAGAAGUGAUGAAAUGUGAAAAUAAAUUAGGGCUAACUGGCGAUUGUUUUAUACAGUCGUCAGUUGCUGCCAAUGUUCCAUUGGGAACACAACUGAAAAAAACAGUCCAGUCGCCCCAUGAUGUCAAAGAAGUCCGUGCAAGUUAGUUAAAUACAAGAAGAAACACACCAGACACACAAUUCUGUACUUUUUGUCAGAAUUGUUUUUACAUUUUUUUUAAUCUGUCAAUAGGUUGCUGAGAUAGUAGUAAUGAGAGAAUAAAUGAGGGCUAGCUGAGGAAUAUUUUUUAUAUUCGUCAAUUGCUGCCAAUGUUCCAUUGCGCACACUGUGAAAAAGGUUCUACGGCAACUAAGAAUACGCUAAAGUGUAUGUUAACAGUUAGCGCAAAUUACAACAGAGCUAGGGCUGAUCAACUCUUAGUAAGAAUGUUAACAGACCCACACCACCCACAGGCUACUAGUGAUGUAGUUCUAAGACUGCAACGUAACAUCUAUAACCUCCAUGAAACUAUGUACUUAACCUGAUAUCGAUGUCGAUCGAUCUCAACGGUGUGACAGCCAAAUUGAAGAAGAAGAAAUACUCAUUGUGAAUAUAGAAAAGUAAGCAGACGCAUAUACGAAUAUAUUUUUUAACGUACACACAUUGAAAACAACACCCUGAAAUUAGACACAGUUUUUCUAUAUUCUACAAAAAUCCACCAUGAAAUUAAAAUUAAAUUUAGAAUUGACUCGUACAUGCACUGGAACAAAAUGUACAAAAUUCCUUUAGAAUAAUAACUAACUCCAUCGACCAUAUAUAUUGUUCCACAAAAUCAACACCAAAUUUGUAUAACACAGUGUGUUGGGUACUUUCGUCUUUAUUAUUAGUAUAAUGUAAUAUCGCAUUUUCGAAUAUAUGUAACUUGCAGUAGUUAUAACUGUUGUUAAAUCGAAUUUAUGAAAUAAAUCGUAGAAAAAUGUUUAA